AGUGAAAUUUAUGGGCCAUAAGUAACUCUGUUUUAACUUUUUGAGGAACUGCCAGACUGUUUUAUAAAGUGACUUUACCAUUUUACAUUCCUAUCAGCAAU
rnacentral:pre_miRNA from 1 species